GAUGAACGCUGGCGGCGUGCCUAAUACAUGCAAGUCGAGCGAAGCGGGGACGGGUGAGUAACACGUGGAUAACCUACUAUAAGACUGGGAUAACUUCGGGAAACCGGAGCUAAACCGCAUACUUAUAGAGAGAGACGCGUUGCAUUAGCUAGGUGGUAAGGUAACGGCUUACCAAGGCAACGAUGCAUAGCCGACCUGAGAGGAUGAUCGGCCACACUGGAACUGAGACACGGUCCAGACUCCUACGGGAGGCAGCAGUAGGGAAUCUUGCGCAAUGGGCGAAAGCCUGACGGAGCCACGCCGCGUGAAUGAUGAAGGUCUUCGGAUCGUAAAUUUCUUUUAUUAGGGAAGCGGUACCUGCACAGAAAGCACCGGCUAACUACGUGCCAGCAGCCGCGGUAAUAC
rnacentral:rRNA from 1 species